rnacentral:rRNA from 1 species
CCUACGGGAGGCAGCAGCAGGGAAUUUUGCGCAAUGGGCGAAAGCCUGACGCAGCAACGCCGCGUGGGGGAUGAAGGCCUUCGGGUUGUAAAGCUCUGUCAGAGGGGAAGAAAUGCAGGUGGUGAACAACCAUUCUGUUUGACGGUACCCUCAAAGGAAGCACCGGCUAACUCCGUGCCAGCAGCCGCGGUAAUACUGAGGGUGCGAGCGUUGUUCGGAAUUAUUGGGCGUAAAGCGCGUGUAGGCGGUUUGUUAAGUCGGAGGUGAAAGCCCCGGGCUCAACCUGGGAAGUGCAUUGGAUACUGGCAGACUUGAGUACGGAAGAGGAGAGCGGAAUUCCCAGUGUAGGAGUGAAAUCCGUAGAUAUUGGGAGGAACACCGGUGGCGAAGGCGGCUCUCUGGACCGAUACUGACGCUGAGACGCGAAAGCGUGGGGAGCAAACAGGAUUAGAUCCCCCGGUAGU